GAGGUUCACCAGCAUGCAUCUUGGGAGACAUGAGCCCUAAACUGUGUCUUCAAGCAAAGGAAUUAAUUUAACACACACAACUGGCAGAGAGGAGAAGGGAAAUGUGUGCGAGAAAGCCCUGCAGUGGGACUGAGCAAAGUGCUCAUUCGAAAACAGCCUGCCUUGGAGAAGAAACCAGAGAGAAGGUUUGAGAAGGUUUCAAAGUCACGAGUUUGGCAUGAGGAGAGCUGGAGGAAGAGCCCAGGAGACAGUGAAGAGGAAGCAAGAGGCUGUAUAUGUAGCCAGCUGGGUUUGGGGGCACCUCAUGAGUAUCCCAUAGCACAAACGGGCAAACUCUGUUACUGGCACAUUAACUAAAAGACAAAACUCCACAUAAACCUGAGUCCUUCCAACCAACCCGGAGACUUACCCAAAUCUAAUCUAAAUAACAACAACAAAAAAGAAAAAAUCACUAUGAGCCUGUAAGUCAUUAAGGGGGUACAUCUUCAAAUGACAUGCUAUCACUAACCAUGGCUUAAAACCCCACAGAUCCCUAAAACUUAAAGUAUAAUAAUAAAUAAAAAUAAAAAAAUUUAAAAAUUAAAAAAAAA
rnacentral:lncRNA from 1 species